rnacentral:lncRNA from 1 species
UUUAUUUUUUAUCAUUUUCAACUGUUUACUAAAAGUAAAGAGAGAUAGAAAGCUAGGAGGAGUUGCCGUCGGCGACGAUCAAAAACAUGCAGAGACAUCAGAUCUGGUUUUUAAGGCCAAAUUCGGCCAUGAACAGCCUCUUUUUAGACCUUAAACAAGCCAGAUCUGUUAAUGCCCCAUUCCGCCAUCUCUAAUGGCAGCCGGUGGUGCAACCUUGCCGGCGGGCCCCCUCGUCUCUUCACUUUCUCUUUCUCUUCAGAUCAAAUUGAGGGUAUGGUUGUCCUUUCAAUUUCCUUCUCAAUAAUUACUAUCGUUUUAUUUCGUUGUUGAUAAAUGUAUUUUAAUAUGAUAGUUGACUCUAAAUACUCUUGGUCUAGUGCCCUUUUUUGUAAUUCACCCUUUUAUUCGUCUGUUUCAAUUUUAUAAUAAUAAAAGGAAUCUCUAAAUUUAAUAUUUAUCUCUGAAGCUGUAACACAUAUUAUUAAUCUCAUUUAGUGACACAGGAUUAUAUUAUUAAUUCUAAAUAUGCUAUCCACCUUCAACAAUCAUUAUAAUCACACAACAUUUGCAAUGAUAUUAAUAAUUAAAAUAUUUAUAAAAAAGAAUAUUAUAAGAAGUCUUUAUAGAACCAAUAGUGAAAGAUAAUAUUUUAAAUUUAUUACGUAACGUAUUGUUCUUACCAAACUCAAAAUAUUAUAUUGCAGCAAACACACAAAUCCGUAUAUUAAUUAACACCUUAACUAGUACUCAUAAUAUUUUUUUAAAAAAAAUUGAAAUAAAUAUUUAUGGAUAGUGGACACUUCCUUAUAUUUUUCGAAAAAUAAAUACUACAAUAAUGUUUUUUUUCUUUAAAUAGUGUUUCGAUAUUGUAUCCAAAUAUUUGAUUCAAUAGCGAGUGCAUAGAUUACAUAGUCAUUAUUUAAAAAAAAAAUUAACUUGAUAGAGUGUGUAAUACUCACGCUUAUAAGCCUAUUAAUGUCUUUUUAUAUGUUCAACAUGAAAUUUAAAAUUGAAUACCAUGAUUUGAUAUCAAUUAACAAGUCUUUUGGGACAGUCCUUUAUAUCAGCCUAAUUAAGAAGCCAUCAUUAAAGGUAGUGAAAUAGAAGUACAAAUAAAGCUGAGUUGGAGUUGGGAUAAAGCCAUAGAAGAGAAGGGAAGAAAAGUACAGAGCAGCUGUAGUAAUUGAAAGAACAUCUAACAAACAACACCAACUCUUUUGAUGAACAGCAAAUCCCAAUGCUGGGAGAAUUUAAGGUGGGGAGGGUGAACCAUCUAACACCAAAAAAAGUCUUGUAUACCAAAUUGCCUCUCUCUUUCUUUAUUUUUCUCUCUGAAUGUUUAUUAUAG